AUGAACGCUGGCGGCGUGCCUCAUACAUGCAAGUCGAGCGAACAGACGAGGAGCUUGCUCCUUUGACGUUAGCGGCGGACGGGUGAGUAACACGUGGAUAACCUACCUAUAAGACUGGGAUAACUUCGGGAAACCGGAGCUAAUACCGGAUAACAUGUUGAACCGCAUGGUUCAACAGUGAAAGACGGUCUUGCUGUCACUUAUAGAUGGAUCCGCGCCGCAUUAGCUAGUUGGUAAGGUAACGGCUUACCAAGGCAACGAUGCGUAGCCGACCUGAGAGGGUGAUCGGCCACACUGGAACUGAGACACGGUCCAGACUCCUACGGGAGGCAGCAGUAGGGAAUCUUCCGCAAUGGGCGAAAGCCUGACGGAGCAACGCCGCGUGAGUGAAGAAGGUCUUCGGAUCGUAAAACUCUGUUAUUAGGGAAGAACAAAUGUGUAAGUAACUAUGCACGUCUUGACGGUACCUAAUCAGAAAGCCACGGCUAACUACGUG
rnacentral:rRNA from 1 species